rnacentral:rRNA from 1 species
CGUAACCGGGCUGAAGUCGUACCGUAAGGAGCGGUGGACUGGUUACGAGUGAGAAUGUUGGCAUCAGUAGCGAGAUGUGGGUGAGAAUCCCACAGGCCGAAAACCUAAGGUUUCCUCAGGAAGGUUCGUCCGCUGAGGGUUAGUCGGGACCUAAGCCGAGGCCGAAAGGCGUAGGUGAUGGACAACUGGUUGAUAUUCCAGUACCACUACCAUCGUUAUUAUCGAUGGCGUGACGCAGGAGGAUAGUGUGUGCUAGCUAUUGGAUGCUAGUCUAAGCGUU